UACGGAGGGUGCGAGCGUUGUUCGGAAUCACUGGGCGUAAAGCGCGUGUAGGCGGCCCAUUAAGUCUGAUGUGAAAGCCCGGGGCUCACCCCCGGAAGUGCAUUGGAAACUGAUGGACUCGAGUCCCGGAGAGGAGAGUGGAAUUCCUGGUGUAGCGGUGAAAUGCGUAGAUAUCGGAAGGAACAUCAGUGGCGAAAGCGACUUCCUGGACCAAUACUGACGCUGAGACGCGAAAGCGUGGGGAGCGAACAGG
rnacentral:rRNA from 1 species